AGUGAACGCUGGCGGCAGGCCUAAUACAUGCAAGUCGAACGGCAGCACAGUGGAGCUUGCUCCAUGGGUGGCGAGUGGCGGACGGGUGAGGAAUACAUGGGAAUCUGCCCAGUCGUGGGGGUACGUAUGAACGUACGCUAUACGCAUGAGACCUCGAGGGUGGAAAGACGGGGGAGGUCGCAAGAACCUCCGCGCUAUUGGAGGCGGCCGGACUAUCAGAUUAGUCUAGUUGGUUGGGGUAAAGGGACCGUACCCAACGGACAACGAUCUGUAGUUGGUCUGAGAGGACGACCACGCCACACUGGGACGUGAGACACGGCCCACGACUCCUACCGGGAGGCGAGCAGUGGGGAAGUUUUGGUACAAUGGGCGGCAAGCCUGAUCCAGCAAUGCC
rnacentral:rRNA from 1 species